CCCUCUUUUUCUCUUGAACAUAAUUCUAAAAAAGGGAAUAGAUUUAGAGCAAGGUUUUUCCCUGGUAUUCCCCCUUUUCUCCAACGACCUAGUUUCUUACUAAGUAAAAGGGGAAACCGAAAUAGUGUUGAUAUGCUUGUGUAGUUAAGCUUCCUCAACACGAAAGGCAGUCUAGACCCAAUCUUUAUUAGAUGUUUGACUAUAGGUGUGGAUGAAAGUGGGCAGCCAGACGCACAAUGCCGUCAAAGAACUUUUUUAUCAGGAAGUCGAGGUGUGCACAUCUCUAAAAAGUUUCCAAAGAAACUGGGAAGACAGGAAAGCUAUGCAUUGAGCGUGCUGAGUGUGUCGGAAUUUUAAUAAAAUUUCAAGAUACCUUAAAUUAUCUGAGACAAGCAUCUGUAGUGUAGUGGUUAUCACGGUUGUCUUACACACAACAGGUCCUCAGUUCAAUCCUGGGCAGAUGCAAUAAAUUAUACAUUUUGCUCUAUCUCGAUCAACAUCAAGCUACAGAUCUCGAAAUACUGUGCUUUUGUUCUUACAGCUCUUCUUGGUCUGUAUUCGGUUGUUUUUACCGACACUGUAACUUAUUGCUCCAUCCCGGGCUUGUUGAUAAUUUCCACAUCAUCUUUGCCAUAUCGUUAAAGGUGAAAGCCGAGUUAGACGUUCGUCCGCACAGCAAAUAUAUGAGGGGGAACGAGGACUUUCACUGCUACUCUAUGCAACAAAGCCACAUAAUAAUAUAUGCAAAUAUAAAUCACUAGAGCUACCCGGAAUUUCUCAUUUUGUCAUUGUCUGCCAACAGUGGUCGACGAUAUGCAGGAGAAAGCAAAAAAGGUGGAGUCUUCCAACACGAUCGAGCUCACGCAGCCUAGAAAACCAUUCAAAUCAGCAGUGCCUUGUUGCAAUUCCAACGUAUCGCUCGGCCGUGUCACACCAGAUCCCCCUAAGAUGAAGGUGUUUAUCUUCGCAGCUAUGCUGAUGAUUGCGGUUUCAGGGCAAGACAUUCCCGGUGAAAAUCACGUUCCUCAUCCUGAUCAUCAAGCUCCAGCUGUUUAUUUUAAGCCCAUGUAUCGUGAUUAUAGGUAUAAUGAUGCUUACCAUCCUGAACACAUAACUCCCACUAUGCCGAGAAUAUUGGUCUUCAUCUCGAAGAUAAGAAAAAUGUUUCUCGUCUGACACAAGUUACUGAAUCUAGUUUUCGGUUGUCAUUUUCGUGAUUCUGCCUCAGUGGGUCUCCUCUAAAAAUACGUGUCAUAUGAAUAUAACAAGUGGUGAAAUCAAAAUACAAAACUUCCAUGAUUACAAAUGAAA